GACAUGAUUUGGUUUAUUUUAUUUGAAAUAAGACCAGAUUAUAUUUUUUUUGGUCCAAAGCAUUUGCCAUUAAAAUUUUGUAUGCUAGGUUAAUUGCAAUAAACAAAAUAAGGGACUAAAACCCUAAAACAAGGUUUUAUUGGCAUCAGCCAAUUAAUUUAAUUCAAAAAAUUUAUUUCUCUAUCCCAUUGGACAGAGGACAAUAAAACAAAUUUUUGGGCACUGGUUUCAAUUAAAAAGAAUUUCUAAAUAAAAAGAUAUGAUUUAAAUGGCACUAAAAGCCUUUUUGUAAUUUGAACUGCUGCAAAGUUCAGUGGGAUCAUCACACAGAAGAAGAAGCCACUUGGGAACGCGAAGAUGAUCUUCGAGAAGACCACCCACACCUCUUUGCUGACCACACCUAAUCUCGAGGACGAGAUUCAUCUUAAGGGGGUUAGGUCUGUAACAUCUCAAAAAAUUUCAAACUUUUACAUGUGCAUUGCAUCCAUAAGAAUCAUGCCACAAUUGCAUAUUUGAAUUCAAAUUUGAUCUCAAAAAGGCUUUGGAAAAGUUUUUAUUUCAAUUUAAACCCUAGGGUUUACACCCAUUUAAACUUUGGUUCUUCAAACCAAUAAGGUUUAUCUUAAAUAGUUAUCUGGACCUAUCUGGAGUUCAAAAUCAAAAGUUAUCAAAGAAAUGAGAAAAAGAGAAAAAGAAAAGAAAAAAAAGGUAAACCGGACCGGUCCGACCGCUUGGGCCGAACCGGCCCAGAACCGACCGCGCCCAACCGCACGCGAGCCGGCCCAACCGGCCCGGUCUGCCCCGCGCGCGCGCACUGAGUCGCUGAUAGGUGGGGCCCACCUGUCAGGCACUUCUUCCUUGUUUGGAAAGCGCCGGCCGUCACGCGCGCCGCGUCCGUGCCGGAUCUGGCGCGCGCCUUCGCCGCCCCGCCGAUUUCAGCCUUCCCAGAACCGCCCGAGCACACCACUAUAAAGCCCGGAGUUCCCCCUCUCUUUUCCCUUUCUUGCUCGACCGAAUCCUUGCGCCC
rnacentral:lncRNA from 1 species